GUGAAAGCUGCUUCAGUGGAGAUUUUAUGUGUGGUCUCAUUGUGAUUAACCAGAAGGGUUCUUGAUGAUGUCCACCUGUAUGUCACUCCAGCCGUUCUCAAGAUUGUUGUUACAGGGCUUAGUGAUUUCCGCCAGAGCACAGUGGGUCGUGAGAGGUCUUGGAAAAUGUGAAUGCAGCUCCGUCAAAAGAAUAGGGUGUAUUGUUUUGCAGUGAU